AUCUACAGCCAUAUCACCCUGAAUGCACCCUAUCUCACCUGAUUUCAGAAGCUAAGCAGGGUUGGUCCUGGUUAGUCAUUGGAUGGGAAGAGUAUAUC
ensembl:rRNA 5S_rRNA 5S ribosomal RNA